GAUGAACGCUGGCGGCGUGCCUAAUACAUGCAAGUCGAGCGAACAGAUGAGGAUUGUGCUCCUCUUACGUUAGCGGCGGACGGGUGAGUAACACGUGUCUACCUGGCUGUAAGGGAUGGAGUACGUCGGGGAACCCUAAUAAAGCACGGGUAAUGAGGUAGAACGUGUGGGUUCAUCGGAAAACACGGUUUUAGUUGCACCUAGGUCGGAUUAGCUAGUUGGUAGGGUAAAGGCUUACCAAGGCGACGAUCCGUACCCGGCCUGAGAGGCUGAUCAGUCACACUGGAACUGAGACACGGUCCAGACUCCUACGGGAGGCAGCAGUAGGGAAUCUUGCACAAUGGGCGAAAGCCUGACGGAGCAACGCCGCGUGAGUGAAGAAGGUCUUCGGAUCGUAAAACUCUGUUAGUAGGGAAGAACAAAAGUGAAAGAAUAUCUGCACGUCUUGACGGUACCUACACAGAAAGCACCGGCUAACUACGUG
rnacentral:rRNA from 1 species